AAGCCAUGUUAAGGAUAUUUCCGUAGGAGCUCCUUGAAACUAUCCCAUGUCUCAAAAAGAGACUCCGAUUCCAUUUGCACAAAACUGGAUAUUUCAUUCCUAAGCUU